AAGAAGUCAGGCCUGGAUUAAGCCAUAGUACGGUAAGAGCUAUGCUGCCUGUGAGCCCCGUCUAAGGACGUAAAAAGAAGUCAGGCCGAAAGCCACGGUUUGAGCAAACCGUGCUGCCUGUAGCUCCAUCGUGGGGAUGUAAAAACCUGGGAGGCUGCAACCCAUGGAAGCUGUACGCAUGGGGUAGCAGACUAGUGGUUAGAGGAGACCCCUCCCGAAACACAACGCAGCAGCGGGGCCCAACACCAGGGGAAGCUGUACCCUGGUGGUAAGGACUAGAGGUUAGAGGAGACCCCCCGCAUAACAAUAAACAGCAUAUUGACGCUGGGA
rnacentral:lncRNA from 1 species